GAGGCCAUAGCUCAGUGGUAGAGCGCCUGCUCAGCACGCAUGAGGUCCUGGGUUCAGUCCCCAGUCCCUCCA
rnacentral:tRNA from 1 species